AUCCAUUUACAGCAAAGUAGAGAAACCAUCUCUAAACAUGGGAGGAGGGCUGAAACAACACUUUCCUCCUACUUAAAUCCUGUCCUUUCAUCCCUUUCCAAGUACAGAUGCUCACAUUUGGCCUCAUGUCACAAAGCAGCAUGCCAGCCAGCUUCCUGGUGACGCUCCAACACCAGGGAUGCUGCACUUGUAGACGCCUUCAUCAGACUUGGAAACAUUGUUAAUUGGCAUCUCAUCAGCAGGACUGCUCUCCAUGAGGACGUCAACAUUGUAGAAAUCAGAUUUGGUGUUGGUGGAAGUUGCCUUGUGUCUGCAGCACAGAACCACAUUAUGACCCACCAAAACAGGAAGAGCAGGAGUCUCCAGGAUCACAGAACCAGCUGAAGAACAUAAAACAUAAAAAAUAAAAUGUCAGACACUUA